rnacentral:tRNA from 1 species
GCCUCAAUCGCAUAAGGGUAUUGCACCGGAUUGCUAAUCCGGGCCGUUCGCGGCAUCCAGGUUCGAGUCCUGGUUGGGGCG